GGUGGUGUGGUGUAAUGGUAGCACGUCACGUUGUGGUUUUCCCUCUCAGGAUUGUUCAUAUUAGCCCGUGAUAAUCGGGGUUCGAUUCCCUGCACCGCCA
rnacentral:tRNA from 1 species